rnacentral:rRNA from 1 species
UACGAAGGGGGCUAGCGUUGCUCGGAAUGACUGGGCGUAAAGGGCGCGUAGGCGGUUUGUACAGUCAGGUGUGAAAUUCCCGGGCUCAACCUGGGGGCUGCGUUUGAUACGUGCGGGGCUUGAGUUCGGAAGAGGGUCGUGGAAUUCCCAGUGUAGAGGUGAAAUUCGUAGAUAUUGGGAAGAACACCGGUGGCGAAGGCGGCGACCUGGUCCGAUACUGACGCUGAGGCGCGAAAGCGUGGGGGAGCAAACAGG